rnacentral:rRNA from 1 species
GAUGAACGCUGGCGGCGUGCCUAAUACAUGCAAGUCGAGCGAACGGACGAGAAGCUUGCUUCUCUGAUGUUAGCGGCGGACGGGUGAGUAACACGUGGAUAACCUACCUAUAAGACUGGGAUAACUUCGGGAAACCGGAGCUAAUACCGGAUGAUAUUUUGAACCGCAUGGUUCAAAAGAGAAAGACGGUCUUGCUGUCACUUAUAGAUGGAUCCGCGCUGCAUUAGCUAGUUGGUAAGGUAACGGCUUACCAAGGCAACGAUGCAUAGCCGACCUGAGAGGGUGAUCGGCCACACUGGAACUGAGACACGGUCCAGACUCCUACGGGAGGCAGCAGUAGGGAAUCUUCCGCAAAGGGCGAAAGCCUGACGGAGCAACGCCGCGUGAGUGAUGAAGGUCUUCGGAUCGUAAAACUCUGUUAUUAGGGAAGAACAUAUGUGUAAGUAACUGUGCACAUCUUGACGGUACCUAAUCAGAAAGCCACGGCUAACUACGUG